GUAGGUGAACCUGCGGAAGGAUCAUUAUCGAAUAAACUUGAACGGGUUGUUGCUGGCUCUCCAGGGAGCAUGUGCACGCUUGGUCUUGUCUUUAUUCCUCCAACUGUGCACUUAUUGUAGACCCUGGAGGGCAAAUUGUUGCUGAUCGUCCAGAUCGAUUGAGGACUGCUGCGCUUUUUUUUUCAAAGCUGGCUUUGCCUCGUGUCUCCAGGUCUAUGUCAUUACACAACCUCUCUACAGAAUCAGAAUGUUUGGAUCGUUGAUAUUGAUAAAUAUAUACAACUUUCAGCAACGGAUCUCUUGGCUCUC
rnacentral:misc_RNA from 1 species